AAUGUGCAUCAGAGGGAAAGGAGCACCUGAUUCUGCGCUGGGAAUGGAGAGAAAUUCACUGAGAAGUUCAAAGAAAAGGGGAUCUUGAAGUUGAUCACAUGGGAUUGCCUCAAGUAUCUCCUCCAACCUGGGGUUGCUGUGUCCCGGACUGCUCUCCCAGGCCCUUCUGCCAUGAUGUUCUCCCUCACUUUGGGCCCAGAGCCAUGAGUCAGCUGACCUUGGACUGAACUUCUUUUCCUCCUCUACAUUGUUCUUGUCAGGUCCUUUGAUCACAGUGAUGAAAAAGCUGACUAAAGCAAAUGCAUUCCUUAAAUUUAGGGGUUUUGAACUAACUAUACAUCUUGGUCAAUUUGGCUGAUAUUUUUUUCAGGGCCAAGGAUUGAAUACAGGGUCUUAUGUGUGCUAGGAAAAUGUUCUGCCACUGAACUAAAUCUCCAACCCUUAAUUUGGUUCACUUUGAAUUACGCUUUUGCCUCUGACCCAAGAUCAUAGUGGAAACUUUAACCUCAUUGUAGCAAGAAGGAUGGAAAAUAGGCCUUAAGGCUAGGAUAGCCCACAUCCAGACAACCCCAGUGUCUCCAGUGCUCACCCAGAAGCAGCCCAGGCCAGCUGGCUUGUGCUAGGAGGGCAAGGUCCGUGGUCUUCUAUGGGGAGGAGAAGGUGUCUCCUGUCUGAUUUAGCUGGCUGCUAUUGGGGAUUAGACCAUUUUUCCCCAGAAAGAGCCAAAAGCAAAAUAGAAGGAAGAAAAGAAAGUCUCUGGUAAGAACCCAUAGACCCCAGAGGAUCUCCCCACCAAUCAAGAAACAGAACUAAGGUUAGGGGUCACUCCUUCCUGCCCUCUUUCCUUUCAUGCAUACCCUCACUCCUGCCUCCCAGAGCCAUUCAGCAUGUGAAGUCCUUCCUGCUCAAUCUGGCACACUUUGCCACUCUCCAGGCCAAAAAUAUGCUUGGCGGUAUCAGGUGAAAGACAAGCAAUGGAGUGCUCUCGAGAUGAGACUCAGAAGGCACUUGCUGUCCACCCUUGCUGUCCCACAAGUCCUUAUGCAGAUGAGUGUCCAGAGCAGAUGUGUCCUGAGGAGAACAGGCCCUUACCCGAACAGAUAGUAGAAGGAUACAGGGCGGAUAUCAAGUCUAACCAUAUGAAAUUGCCAGUUCCCUAGGCAGACAAAUAGUUGGAAACAUAGAUAUGAUUAAUGAAUAAAAAGAAUUAUGUAUAGCAAGGUAGAUACAAAGGCAGAAGUAGUAGUGGAAGAGACGAGUUAGAUAUGUACAAGUAAAUUACAAUAUAUAUUUUUAAAAUACAUCAUUAUUUAAGACACAUACAUGCCUCCCUCUAGUCAGAAAAGGAUAAUCUGAGGGAGUUUAGGAAAAAAAGGAAAUAGGAAAAAGAAAAAUAAAGCAAUGGGAGCAAUCUCAGCACUGGUGACAGCCAAUUCAUACCACAGUCCUGUCCAUACCUGCCUUCACUUGAGUACUUAUUAAAAAUCCCUAACAAAACAGAAUUUUCAAAAACUGAGCUGCACAGAAUUAUAUGUUCUGCUUAGGCACAAGUGAGAUAUUUUGUUUUAAAAUAAUCCAUAAGUACAUUUUAGGGUUUUGCAAAAUACCUCAAAAAGGCAAUGGUUUAUAAACUUGCUUGAGCUAACAUGCCCCCACAGACUCAGGGCAAUUAUUCAUCACUUUCUCCCAAACUUAAACGUUCUAAGUAUUCUGGGCCAUUAGUCAAGAUGUAUAAAUAGUUGAUCAAGUUUCCUCUUACAGAGUUUCCUCUGAACAAUUUAUAAGCAUGAUAUUACCUGAAUAAAAACACAAAGGAAUUCCUUUCUGAUCACUGGUCCCUAAUGAUAUAUGGUAAGCAUUAUAACCAAUCAAUUCACUCUUUCCAUAUCUUGUUUCUUCAAUUCAUCAUGAAAGCCAAAUAUAAUAGAUAGCCCAUUCUUCUAAGAACCCUAGGCCUAUGUAAUCUUUCAAAAUGCUUUGCCCUCUCUCUGCUUUCUGGCUGCCAUGAACAGUGCAGCUUUUCUCCUCUGUAUCCUUCCACCAUAAUUUUCUGCCUCAUCUUGAAUCCAGAGCUAUGGAGUUGGCCAACCAUGGAAUGAGACCUCUGAAACUAUGAGCCAAAAUAAACUUUUCCUCCUCCAA